rnacentral:ncRNA from 1 species
CGAAACUCAUCGGGGAGCCAAGUGCAGCGCACUGGCUGAGAUCGACAAUUGUCGGGACCCGUGUACCUGAACCAGAUAAUGCUGGCGUAGGAAUUGAGUCAGGAUAAUUG